GGGUUCCUACGGGGCGCAGCAGUGGGGAAUAUUGGGCAAUGGGCGCAAGCCUGACCCAGCAACGCCGCGUGAAGAAAGAAGGCUUUCGGGUUGUAAACUUCUUUUCUCAGGGACGAAGCAAGUGACGGUACCUGAGGAAUAAGCCACGGCUAACUACGUGCCAGCAGCCGCGGUAAUACGUAGGUGGCAAGCGUUAUCCGGAUUUACUGGGUGUAAAGGGCGUGUAGGCGGGAAAGCAAGUCAGAUGUAAAAACCACGGGCUCAAACUGUGGCCUGCAUUUGAAACUGUUUUUCUUGAGUACUGG
rnacentral:rRNA from 1 species